rnacentral:rRNA from 1 species
CCAGACUCCUACGGGAGGCAGCAGUGGGGAAUAUUGGGCAAUGGGCGCAAGCCUGACCCAGCAAUGCCGCGUGAAGGAAGAAGGCCCUCGGGUUGUAAACUUCUUUUAUCAGGGACGAAGGAUGUGACGGUACCUGAUGAAUAAGCUCCGGCUAACUACGUGCCAGCAGCCGCGGUAAUACGUAGGGAGCAAGCGUUAUCCGGAUUUACUGGGUGUAAAGGGCGUGCAGCCGGGAAGACAAGUCAGAUGUGAAAUCCCGCGGCUCAACCGCGGAACUGCAUUUGAAACUGUUUUUCUUGAGUACCGGAGAGGUCAUCGGAAUUCCUUGUGUAGCGGUGAAAUGCGUAGAUAUAAGGAAGAACACCAGUGGCGAAGGCGGAUGACUGGACGGCAACUGACGGUGAGGCGCGAAAGCGUGGGGAGCAAACAGGAUUAGAUACCCGUGUACU